rnacentral:piRNA from 1 species
UGAAUGCCAUCUGUGUUGGAGCC